UACGAAGGGGGCUAGCGUUGUUCGGAAUUACUGGGCGUAAAGCGCACGUAGGCGGAUUUGUAAGUCAGGGGUGAAAUCCCGGGGCUCAACCUCGGAACUGCCUUUGAUACUGCAAGUCUUGAGUCCGGAAGAGGAGAAUGGAAUUCCUGGUGUAGCGGUGAAAUGCGCAGAUAUCAGGAAGAACACCCGUGGCGAAGGCGGUUCUCUGGGCCUUACCUGACGCUGAGGAGCGAAAGCGUGGGGAGCAAACAGG
rnacentral:rRNA from 1 species